ensembl:snRNA U6 U6 spliceosomal RNA
GUGCUCGCUUCGGCAGCACAUAUACAUAUAAAGUUGGAACAAUACAGAGAAGAUUAACAUGACCCCUGUGCAAGGAUGACACACAAAUUCAUGAAGCGUUCCAUAUUUUU